rnacentral:rRNA from 1 species
AUGUUAACUAUAAACAGUGAGCUCCCGAACACCGCCAUUUCAGAAGCAACUUGCCAUAAUGCCACUAGCUCCUGCUACUAUCCAGUGCUGGCACCAGCCUCGCCAGGCACCUCGUCUGCAGGAAGAUCUUUUCUCAGGAAACAAGGGAGGAACAGCGACCAAGCGACGGUGACUUCAUCUAGAAGCCCAUGUCAAGCUCACCAUAUCUCCUACCGGCAUCCUCAGGCGUCAAGAACACCCUCCUCGUCGCAACCCGGUCGCCACCGCGCCACGCCACCACGGAAACCACCAGCUGCUCGGAACUUUCAACGGAAACAACACGGCGUGAGAGCUUGA